rnacentral:rRNA from 1 species
UUUCGCAAUGCCCGAAAGGGUGACGAAGCAACGCCGCGUGUGGGAAGAAGGCCUUCGGGUUGUAAACCACUGUCGGGAGUUAGGAAAUGCAGGUGCGUUAAUAGCGCACUUGCUUGACUAAGGCUCCAGAGGAAGCCACGGCUAACUCUGUGCCAGCAGCCGCGGUAAUACAGAGGCGGCAAGCGUUGUUCGGAAUUAUUGGGCGUAAAGAGCACGUAGGCGGCCUUGCAAGUCAGUUGUGAAAGCCUUCCGCUUAACGGAAGAACGGCAUCUGAUACUACAGGGCUUGAGUACGGGAGGGGAGAGUGGAACUUCUGGUGGAGCGGUGAAAUGCGUAGAUAUCAGAAGGAACGCCGGCGGCGAAAGCGACUCUCUGGUCCGAAACUGACGCUGAGUGUGCGAAAGCUAGGGGAGCAAACGGGAUUAGAUACCCCGGUAGUCCUAGCCGUAAACGAUGGGCACUAAGUAGAGGGGUUUU